ACUCAAAGGAAUUGACGGGGACCCGCACAAGCGGUGGAGCAUGUGGUUUAAUUCGACGCAACGCGAAGAACCUUACCUGGGUUAAAUCCCAGUUGCAAGGCGUAGAGAUACGCCCCCCUCGCAAGAGGCGGCUGGGAAGGUGCUGCAUGGCUGUCGUCAGCUCGUGUCGUGAGAUGUUGGGUUAAGUCCCGCAACGAGCGCAACCCUUACCACUAGUUGCCAGCGAUUCGGUCGGGCACUCUAGCGGAACUGCCGGUGAUAAACCGGAGGAAGGUGGGGAUGACGUCAAGUCAUCAUGGCCUCUAUGUCCAGGGCUACACACGUGCUACAAUGGCAGGUACAAACCGUAGCAAACUCGCGAGAGGGAGCCAAUCGGAAAAAGCCUGUCUCAGUUCGGAUUGCAGUCUGCAACUCGACUGCAUGAAGUUGGAAUCGCUAGUAAUCGCGGAUCAGCACGCCGCGGUGAAUACGUUCCCGGGUCUUGUACACACCGCCCGU
rnacentral:rRNA from 1 species